rnacentral:rRNA from 1 species
UAAGGAAUAUUGGUCAAUGGACGAAAGUCUGAACCAGCCAUGCCGCGUGGAGGAUGAAGGCUCUCUGGGUUGUAAACUUCUUUUAUAUGGGACGAAAAAGGGUCUUUCUAGAUCAACUGACGGUACCCUAGGAAUAAGCACCGGCUAACUCCGUGCCAGCAGCCGCGGUAAUACGGAGGGUGCAAGCGUUAUCCGGAUUCACUGGGUUUAAAGGGUGCGUAGGUGGGUUAGUAAGUCAGUGGUGAAAUCUUCGAGCUUAACUCGGAGACUGCCAUUGAUACUAUUAGUCUUGAAUAGUGUGGAGGUUAGCAGAAUAUGUCAUGUAAGGGUGAAAUGUUUAGAUAUGACAUAGAACACCAAUUGCGAAGGCAGCUGGCUACACAUGUAUUGACACUGAGGCACGGAAGCGUGGGGAUCAAACA